CAUUAAUGUUUGAAGGGUCUUAAGCUUAUUCAAACCAUAUAAGUCGGUAUGAAACACCAAAACGGAAUGAUAAUAACCGAUUACGUUUUGUAGUUUACAAAAUUCUGGACUGGUUCCUGUCAAACUACAACACUUUGUUCGACUGUAGUGGAAUACAAACAGAAACCAGUUAGUUUGUAAACUGGUUCCUGGCUGAUUACUACACAAUGCUCAUGCAUAAUGAUAACACAAGCACAUUCCAGUUUGUAUUGAAAUUAGUAAAUACGAAACCAAGCGCGGUAGGCAGAGAAAUCAGGUCGGCAGUUAUGGAACAAUGACUGCGUCAUUUUCCAAAAAAACUGCCCCAACCUGGAUAACCAAAUCGCCCCACUUGUGAAAUGUGUUAUAUCCCUUAAUAUUACUCCUGCCAACUUGCCCCACCUAAUAGAAAACGAUAAUAUCUAGAUAAAUAUAUUAUUAACCAGGAAGAAUUUACUAAUGCCAACUCGCCC
rnacentral:lncRNA from 1 species